GGGGAAAUGGCUCAGUGGUUAAGAGCAUUGGCUGCUCUUUCAGAGAAUCUGGGUUCAAUUCCCAGUGUCUACA
rfam:Mesocricetus auratus contig042840, whole genome shotgun sequence.